rnacentral:rRNA from 1 species
UACGUAGGUGGCAAGCGUUGUCCGGAAUUAUUGGGCGUAAAGAGCUCGUAGGCGGUUUGUCGCGUCUGCUGUGAAAACUCGGGGCUUAACUCCGGGCCUGCAGUGGGUACGGGCAGACUAGAGUGCGGUAGGGGAGACUGGAAUUCCUGGUGUAGCGGUGAAAUGCGCAGAUAUCAGGAGGAACACCGGUGGCGAAGGCGGGUCUCUGGGCCG